GUAGGUGAACCUGCGGAGGGAUCAUUAACAUCUCAACACAAUAUAUAACUUGGUAGAUUGUACUCUUCACCGGGUACAUCUGCUACAGUGACUACCACCGUGAACUAUGUACAACAACCCCUGCUGACACAUGAGAGUAUUGUAUUGAUACUUCGGUAUUGUUACAUAUUCUCUAUGUCUAGCACACCAUUUUUAUUUCACUACUUCACCUCUAUAUUCUAUACAAUCUACAAUUACUUGUGUGUGUAUCUCUGAUACACCUCCACUGUAAUUGAGCAACCAAUUAUAUACCACUCCUAGCAAUGGAUAUCUUGGUUCUC
rnacentral:misc_RNA from 1 species